CAUGCAAGUAGAACGCACAGGAUGCACCGUAGUUUACUACACCGUAUUCUGUGAGUUGCGAACGGGUGAGUAACGCGUAGGUAACCUGCCUGGUAGCGGGGGAUAACUAUUGGAAACGAUAGCUAAUACCGCAUAAGAACAUUUACUGCAUGGUAGAUGUUUAAAAGGUGCAAAUGCAUCACUACCAGAUGGACCUGCGUUGUAUUAGCUAGUAGGUGAGGUAACGGCUCACCUAGGCGACGAUACAUAGCCGACCUGAGAGGGUGAUCGGCCACACUGGGACUGAGACACGGCCCAGACUCCUACGGGAGGCAGCAGUAGGGAAUCUUCGGCAAUGGGGGGAACCCUGACCGAGCAACGCCGCGUGAGUGAAGAAGGUUUUCGGAUCGUAAAGCUCUGUUGUUAAGGAAGAACGAGUGUGAGAAUGGAAAGUUCAUACUGUGACGGUACUUAACCAGAAAGGGACGGC
rnacentral:rRNA from 1 species